AGUCACGUGGCGUAACGUGGUAACGCUUCCGCCUCGUGAGCGGUUGAUCGGGGUUCAAAUCUCGGCUCUGACCA
rnacentral:tRNA from 1 species